GACGUAGGGGGCUAGCGUUGUCCGGAUUUAUUGGGCGUAAAGAGCGUGUAGGCGGCCAGGUAGGUCUGCUGUGAAAACUCGAGGCUCAACCUCGAGACGUCGGCGGAAACCAUCUGGCUAGAGUCCGGAAGAGGAGAGUGGAAUUCCUGGUGUAGCGGUGAAAUGCGCAGAUAUCAGGAAGAACACCCGUGGCGAAGGCGGCUCUCUGGGACGGUACUGACGCUGAGACGCGAAAGCGUGGGGAGCGAACAGG
rnacentral:rRNA from 1 species